ensembl:lncRNA
AGGGCUUGGCGACCCUCGGGCAGGCACGGGAGGGGAAGCUGGGGCAAGAAGUCGGCCCGGGAAGCGGAAGCCGAGGCAGGGAGGUUGCAGAGCGCGAGGCCACCCCGUCCCCUUCCUCCCAGGCUGGCGCAGCUGGGAGCCUGACGCGACUCGGGUCUGCUUGCGGGAGGGGCACGCCUGGGCUGAGCUGCCGGCCGGUGCCUGCCAGGUGCGCGGCGCGGGGCUGCGGCGGGCGGGCGCCCCAGAGAGGCAUCGCGGGUGGAGGGCGAGUCUCGAGAGCUUGCGGAACGGUCCAGCGCUAGGUUUGAAGCUGAGCCUUACGGAAAGUCCAUUCUCGGGCCGGCGGCUCCCAGGCUGGCAGCAAAGACCUCCCCUGAUAGGGGCAGGAGAGCACAACCCAGAGGCCCGACCGACGGGUUCUACCCCAGCACCUCCCUGGUGGGGCGCGGAAUUUGGCUCCGCGUCGCCAUCUCGUGGCCUUAUGGAGCAGCGCCUGCCUGGUAACUGGGGAUGUCGCAAGGCGGGAAGCGACCGAGGCACGCGAAGCCCUCAGGAGUGAUUGGCUUCCGAGACCCCGCCCCCUUGUUAGGGAGGUCCUGGAGCUGGGACUGCGGUUACCAUGGCAACGGUUGAGCAGGCCCAGUCCCUUCCUCUGGCCACCCAGAAUCCUGCUCAGGACCUCGCCGGAGACCGGGAUGUGGACACCAGCGUUCCUUUUCAUCCUCCUUGCUGAAUAACCUGUGUAGAUGAAGAUGCUGCCUCCCAAAGCAGCAAGGCCUUCACCAACCAAUGAGCCUGCAUACGUACUGUACGGUGAGAGCCACAGGGAACAAGCAUGGGGCCAAGUUGAGAAGAGGAGGAAGGACUGGGACCUGACAAAGGCCUGUCACUGCUGUGUAGAGAAGAGAUUAUCCAGGCACAGCUCGGAGGUCAAUCGUCCUGGAUCUGCUAAGGAAACACCAGAGCUGUGGAAGUCACAAUGCCUGCAGGACUGAAGCUGGAUCUUGGAGGUGCUGUCCUCCCAGGGGACUCGUCCAUCACUGAGUGCAGCAGCCGAAUGAGCUGUGUGGAGGUGGCACAUUGGGGCACAACCUGGAAGUGUGUCUUCACAUCCCUGGCUUGGCCCUGAACUGUCUGUCUCCUGCCCACUAUGGCUUGAGCACCUGUCCCUUGGCCUUUGCCGCUCUGCUACCCUGCCGCACCCUUAGUGCCAGACAACCGGGGGCUGAAAUCACAAACACAAAUAAACUUCUUCUUUAAAUUGUGGGUGUUGGGUAUUUUGUCCUAGCAACAGGAAAGUGACUAAUACAGCAUUUUAUUAUCUCACAUAAGUAUCUGGAGUUUACUGGUAGUGCUAAAGCUGGUUCUGCAGCUCAGUGCUAUUCCAGGCUCUUUCUUUUUUCUGCCAUCUUCAUUAUACUGACAUGUGGCCUUAUGAUCACAAGAUAAUUGCCUCAGCUCCAGCUUUACAUUCUCAUAAAC